AGUGAAACUCAAAGGAAUUGACGGGGACCCGCACAAGUAGCGGAGCAUGUGGUUUAAUUCGAAGCAACGCGAAGAACCUUACCUAAGCUUGACAUCCCAAUGAUAUCUCCUUAAUCGGAGAGUUCCCGUCGGGGACAUUGGUGACAGGUGGUGCAUGGUUGUCGUCAGCUCGUGUCGUGAGAUGUUGGGUUAAGUCCCGCAACGAGCGCAACCCUUGUCUUUAGUUGCCAU
rnacentral:rRNA from 1 species